rnacentral:rRNA from 1 species
UACGAAGGGGGCUAGCGUUGCUCGGAAUCACUGGGCGUAAAGCGCACGUAGGCGGAUUGCUAAGUCAGGGGUGAAAUCCUGGAGCUCAACUCCAGAACUGCCUUUGAUACUGGGGAUCUCGAGUCCGGGAGAGGUGAGUGGAACUCCGAGUGUAGAGGUGAAAUUCGUAGAUAUUCGGAAGAACACCAGUGGCGAAGGCGGCUCACUGGCCCGGUACUGACGCUGAGGCGCGAAAGCGUGGGGAGCAAACAGG